GACGAACGCUGGCGGCGUGCCUAAUACAUGCAAGUUGAGCGCUGAAGGUUGGUACUUGUACCAACUGGAUGAGCAGCGAACGGGUGAGUAACGCGUGGGGAAUCUGCCUUUGAGCGGGGGACAACAUUUGGAAACGAAUGCUAAUACCGCAUAAAAACUUUAAACACAAGUUUUAAGUUUGAAGGAUGCAAUUGCAUCACUCAAAGAUGAUCCCGCGUUGUAUUAGCUAGUUGGUGAGGUAAAGGCUCACCAAGGCGAUGAUACAUAGCCGACCUGAGAGGGUGAUCGGCCACAUUGGGACUGAGACACGGCCCAAACUCCUACGGGAGGCAGCAGUAGGGAAUCUUCGGCAAUGGACGAAAGUCUGACCGAGCAACGCCGCGUGAGUGAAGAAGGGUUUCGGAUCGUAAAACUCGGUUGGUAGAGAAGAACGUUGGUGAGAGUGGAAAGCUCAUCAAGUGACGGUAACUACCCAGAAAGGGACGGCUAACUACGUG
rnacentral:rRNA from 1 species